rnacentral:rRNA from 1 species
AUUGAACGCUGGCGGCAGGCCUAACACAUGCAAGUCGAGCGGAUGAAGGGAGCUUGCUCCUGGAUUCAGCGGCGGAAGGGUGAGUAAUGCCUAGGAAUCUGCCUGGUAGUGGGGGAUAACGUCCGGAAACGGGCGCUAAUACCGCAUACGUCCUGAGGGAGAAAGUGGGGGAUCUUCGGACCUCACGCUAUCAGAUGAGCCUAGGUCGGAUUAGCUAGUUGGUGGGGUAAAGGCCUACCAAGGCGACGAUCCGUAACUGGUCUGAGAGGAUGAUCAGUCACACUGGAACUUAGACACCGUCCAGACUCCUACGGGAGGCCGCAGUGUGGAAUAUUGGACAGUGGGCGAAAGCCUGAUCCAGCCAUGCCGCGUGUGUGAAGAAGGUCUUCGGAUUGUAAAGCACUUUAAGUUGGGAGGAAGGGCAGUAAGUUAAUACCUUGCUGUUUUGACGUUACCAACAGAAUAAGCACCGGCUAACUUCGUG